GAUGAACGCUAGCUACAGGCUUAACACAUGCAAGUCGAGGGGAAACGAUAUUGGAAGCUUGCUUCCGAUAGGCGUCGACCGGCGCACGGGUGAGUAACGCGUAUCCAACCUGCCCAUCACUUGGGGAUAACCUUGCGAAAGUAAGACUAAUACCCAAUGACGUCUCUAGAAGACAUCUGAAAGAGAUUAAAGAUUUAUCGGUGAUGGAUGGGGAUGCGUCUGAUUAGCUUGUUGGCGGGGUAACGGCCCACCAAGGCGGCGAUCAGUAGGGGUUCUGAGAGGAAGGUCCCCCACAUUGGAACUGAGACACGGUCCAAACUCCUACGGGAGGCAGCAGUGAGGAAUAUUGGUCAAUGGGCGAGAGCCUGAACCAGCCAAGUAGCGUGCAGGAUGACGGCCCUAUGGGUUGUAAACUGCUUUUAUAAGGGAAUAAAGUGAGACUCGUGACUCUUUUUGCAUGUACCUUAUGAAUAAGGACCGGCUAAUUCCGUGCCAGCAGCCGCAGUAA
rnacentral:rRNA from 1 species